rnacentral:misc_RNA from 1 species
AUCGCAAUGAAAGGCCUACUUCUCGAACAGAUAAAACUAGAGAUGACUCUGGAUUGACACCUAAUGAUGCUGAAAAGGCCAAAGGAGCAAAAUCCGGUGAUACAGUUAAACCUAGUGAAGGAAAAAGAAAAGGGGAUGAUGGCAGUGAAAGACCAACUUCUCAUCCAGAUAAGGCUAGAGCAGAUGACUCUGAAUUGACACCUAGAGGCCCUGAAAAGGCCAAAGAAGCAAAAGCUGGUGAUGCAGUUAAAUCUAGUGAAGGGAAAAGAAAGGAGGAUGAUGGCAGUGCAAGACCAAUUUCUCGAGCAGAUAAGGCUAAAGCAGAUGACUCUGGAUUGACGCCUAAAGGCGCUGAAAAAACCAAAGUAGCAAAAUCGGGUAAAGCAGUUAAACCUAGUGAAGGGAAAGGAAAGGCGGAUGAUGGCAGUGAUAGCCUAACUCCUCAAGCAGUUGAUGGUAAAAAAUAUUACGCCAGCUUAACAUCUAGUGAUAGUGAUAUAGCCAGAGGACUAAAAUCGGGUGAUGCAAGCAAGUCUAGUGAUGGAAGGGGAAAGGCAGAAGAUAAAAGUGAUAAGUCAUCUUCUCGAGCAGGGAAGACAAGAGCAGACUCUGGAUUGACACCCAGUGGUGCUGAAAAGGCCAAAGGAGCAAAAUCAGGUGAUACAGACAAACCAAGUGAUAGAAAAGGAAAGGCAACUGGUACAGCAGACGACUCCGGAAAAAAAUCCGGUGAUACAGGAAAACCAAGGGAAGGAAAAGGAAAGCCACCAGACAGCAGUGACAGGCCAACUUCUCGAACAGGUAAGAGUAGAGCAGAUGACUCUGAACUGAAAUCUAGUGACGCUGAAAAGGGCAGAGGAGUAAAACCUAGUGAAGCAGAGACAACUCGCAAACCAAUGUCUCGAGCAGGUACAGGUAGAGCAGACGACUCCGGGUUGACUCGCAGCGAAGAUGAAAAAACUAAAGGAGUAAAAUCUGGUGAUUCAAGUAAACCUAGUGACCUAAAAGGAAAAGAAACCGAUACUAGGCCAACUACUGGACUGACACCUAGCGAUUCUGAAAGAGGGAAGAGGCUAAAACCAGGGGAUGCACUAAAACCUGAUAAAGAAAAAGGAAAGGAAAUUGACAGUAGUAGUAAACCGACUACUCAAUUAGCUACAGGUAAAGCAGAAGACUCUGGAGAAGUUGAAAAAACUAAGGGAGCAAAAUCGGGUGAUGGCAGAAAAUCUGAUCAUGAAAAAGGAAAGUCAGUUGAUGAGAGAGCUGGCAAAGAUGACGACUUAAAAGCUAAGACACCUGGUGAAAAAAGUGAACAAUCUGGAGAUAAAGAUGCAAAAGUAAUAGCUCCUGUAAGAGGAAGGGGUAGAGGCCGAGUAGCAGAAUCAACAGCUAAGCCCGGUGAACCUGAUGAGUCAAAAGUCGACGACAAAAGAACGGAAAGCAUGCCAGCUGGUGAAAGAGAGCUAGCUAAAACCAAAGCCAAACCUGAUGCUGAAUACAAAUCUCGAAAAGAAGCUCAAGAACAAGCUAUUUAUGAUACAGAAGGUAAAGAAACUACGCCAAGAGUGAGAGGUAGAGGAAGAGGUAUUUCUACAGACUCAAAGUCCCUACUUGGAGAAGCUGGCGGAUCAAGAGGUGCCACACCUAGUGAGAAAGGAGAAAUCGUAAAACUCAAAGAUGAUGAAAUUAAAAAUAAGGGAGUGACAGAUAAGGAAGAUGGAAUAGGUGGUGGAAAACGAGGAACAGAAAAACCAUAUAAAUCCGGAAAAAUUGAUGAUACCAAAGUGAACGGUACUAGUGGCAAAGAAAAAGCAGAUAAAGAUAAAGCAGUUCGGGACAAAGAUCAAAGGGCACCGGGAGAUAAAAAGUCUGGAGAACCUGUUGUUAAGCUUGGUGAACAAUAUGAGAAAAGUCAAACAGCUUUAUCAGAUAGAGAAAAAGAUAGUAGGAAGCCUGAAAUAGAAAGAGAGAUAAAACCAAGUGAAAAAAGAAAAGAAGCAGAGGAACCAAAAGUACAUCCCGUACUAGAUAAGACGAUGGAUGCAGAUAAAAGAACAGGACAAGAUGUUUUGGGUAAAAAAUCAGAUCAAAAGGAGCCAAUUGUAAAAAAAAUCCCCAAAGAGAGUGAUGUUGAAGUUCAGCCCCUACGUCGACAAGAAGAUGAUUCGAAAUUAAAAGGCAAAGACCAGGCUGUUGGCGAUAAGCGUCAAGAAGGUGGCCUUGACUCAGUUCGACCAGCUACAAGUCGUGGAAGAGGUAGAGGCCGAGUGUCUGAAUCAAAAACUAAACCUGGAGAAGCAGAUAGCCGAGUAUCAGACAUUUCUCCAGAUGCAAAAUCAAAAGAAGAGGAUGUCAAAAGCGAAUGUGGGUCAAUCUGCAAAAGCAUUUCAGAGGAUAUAGAACCUCCUGAAACUCAACCACGUAAAGUAGACAGAUUAGAGGAAGUAACUACGAAAAAGACACCUGAAGGUAGAGAAUCUCUUGACCAAAAAGGAACUGAAAGAAAAGAAGAAGGUACAGUUCCUGAGGGCAAAGAAAAAUAUAUAGAAAAGAUUGUCCCUAAAGAUAAAGCUAUGAAAGAUAAAAUCUCUGCGGAAGAUAAAGGCAAGGAAAGAUUGCAAAAACCAGCAAAAACGGAAGAUGAAAAAAGUAAAAAGAUGAUACAAGAUAAGGUUGAUGCUAUAUCUUUUGGAAAAAAAUUGCCUGAAGAACAAACAAUUUCAGAUACGGAAAAGGAUAAAGAUCAAGAAAAAAUCAAAUUUGACGCACACGGAAAGAAACCUAUGCAGAGUCCCACUCAAAAAACCGAUGGUGAAAGCGAAGAAUAUAUACCCACAGAAGAGAAGCUAGAUAAGCAGAAAGAACAGCUUAAAGAAGAAGGUCUAAGCCCAGAAGAAGUAGCGUUGGAACCUAAAGAGCGUCAUAAGACUAAAAAAACCAUCCCAGACAGAAUUAAGCAGUUAAGAGAAAAGUUAGCACAUGAUAAAAGUAAAAGAUUAUCUUCAAAAGACCUGGAGGAAUUAAGCCCUGAUGAACUUCAAGAACUUGAAAAAGAGUUAGGACCCACAGAGUUUAAGAAGUUAACUAAGAAAUAUAAAGAAACAAUUCCAGAAAAAAUUAAGGAGUUAAAAAAAAAAUUAACUCCCGAAAAGGCAAAAAAGCUAACUCCUGAGCAACUUGAACAAUUAAGUCCUGAAGAAUUAGAACUGUUGGAGAAGGAACUCGCUUCUGAAGAAGAAUUACCAUUAGCAACUCCAGAAAAAGUCAAAGUAUUAACUCCUAGUGAAAUUAAAAAAUUGACUGAAGAUUUAGGCCUUGAAGAAGCUAAAAAGCUCAUGCCUGAGGAUGAAUCUGAAAAGUUAGAUAGAGAGCAAUUAAAGAAAUUUGCAAAAAAAUUAGGUAGUAAAGAUUAUGAAAAAUCAGAAAAAAGUAGAGAGAAGGAAUUGAGUCUUAAAGAAAGCAAGAUACUAGCUCCCAAAGAAGAAGCAAUAGAGCCUGAAGAACUUGCAAAAUUAAGUCCGGAACAAUUAAAAGAUUUGCAAAAGAAACAAGCCCUUGAAGAGAGUAAAAAACUUUCUCCUGAAGAAUUGACACCUGAAAAGCAAAAAAUAUCAGAACCAGGAUUAGGUCUAGAAAAAGAAAAGAAAUUAGUAUCUAAAGAUCUUGAAAAGUUAAGCUUAGAAGAGCUAAGAGAUUUAAAAAAAGAGCUAUUCCCCGAAAAAGAAGCACUAUCUGCUGAGGAUUUGAAAAGGUUAACUCCUGAAAAGCUAGAGCAGUUACAGAAACAGAAAGAACUUGAGUUGGCUGAAGGACCCUCAAAACUUGAACCGAUAGGCCCUGAUAAACUCAAAAUUAUAACGCCCCAAGAAUUAGAAGAAUUAGCUGAACAACAAGGCCAAGAAUUAGGUAAAAAACUUAGUGAGGACCUAGGAAAGUUAAGUACACAAGGGUUAAAAAAGUUACCAGAAGAGUUAAGUCGUGACGAGGAAGACAAGCUUAAAGAAUUAAGCCCGGAACAACUUAAAGAUUUAGAAAUAAAAUUUGACCUAACGGAGGGAGAACUAACUGAUGUAGGUCUUAGAAAAUUAACUCCCGAGCAGCUUAAAGAAAUAGAGAGAGAAUUAGGACCUAAAAGAGAAAAAGUACUUCCCGAUACAUUUGCCAAGAUAUCUCCGGAAGAGCUUGAUAAGUUAAACUCUGAAGAGCUUAAAGAAAUGCUUAGAAAAGUAAGACCAAACAUAGAUAAGACUGAACAACUAGAAGAAUUAACCCCCGAGGAAAUAAAAAGAUUGCUUACUGAAAAGGCUCGCGAGGAGGAAGAACCAAGAGAACGCUCUUUAACUCCUAGUGAUAUAGAACGUCAAAGAUUAUUUGCAGAUAGAGGUGAGAUAUACAUAACACCUGAAGGCUUUAAAAGUGCCCCUUCUAGGAGAACAAAAGAACCACCUUGUAACUUAGAAUGCAUACAUCCAGAAAGGCGUAAGCAUUCGCCCAAGGCUUUUAUAAGUGAAGAUAAAUUAGCAAUACCUGGACCGUCCACACUAUACCCUAAGACAGAAGACACGCAACCUGCAGUAAAAGUUUGUAAAGCAAGGUGUAAUUUACCAAAAAGUCCCGAAAAACUGUCCUCCCAGGCUUCGUUGAUAGACGACACUCUUGAUUUAAGUAUAGAACACAGUGAACGCGAAAUCUAUAAACUAGUUAAAGAAGGAAAACCAGAAUCUGAUGAAGCAACAGAUACUUCUUUAAGUCAGCCUCUUACACCUCACAAAAGUCUUCUUGGUAAUGACACUCAAGAUGAAGCAUUUUUCUCAGCGCGAUCAAAAGACGAUGCUACCGAAACAAGAAGGGCUUAUCAUAAGUGUAUGGCUCCUUGUAGAAAUGCACGAGACCGACCUUCUUUAUUUGGGGAAGAAACUGGAGGAGUUAUUACAGGAACGGAUCAUGAAACUUCUCAAGAUUUAAUACCAACAGGAUAUUAUAUGCCACAAGAUAUUUCACCUCGGGAAUCCAUGCCUAAAUGGUUAAAAGAUGUACCAGAUAAAACUGAUGAUACUCUAUCAGAAACAAAAAUACCUAGUAUAACAGAAACAGAGGCAGCAAAAGCAAGUCGUCUAUUAGAAGAAGCCGGUGCGAGUGAAAGAAAAAAGAAACCAAAGCUGGUUUUAGAAUGGACCACUGAUUCGGAAAAAAGUAUAGAAAAACUAGAAAUUCCAGAAAAUAUUAAAGGGUCUAACGUUAUUUCAAAAGUAUUAUCUGGGCAAGUAGUCGGACUUCCACCAUCCAUUCCAAUAUUGGAACAGUCAACACCGAAAAAUCUUGCAAAAGCAUUAUAUCAAUGUAAAGCGAAAUGUGCCACAGGUGGCAAUGUAGCUGACGCGAUAAACAUUGAAACUGCUGAAGAUAUUAGUGAUAUUAAUACAGAUUCUGAAAUUCAAGAAGAAGCUAUCGAACCUACUUUACAAACUGGUACGAUUUAUAGUCCGAUACCUGACGAAACUGCUAUAGAACAGGAAGGUGAUGAUACAUUGGUUAACCAGAAUUUGUCAGAGCAAAUAGAUACCCAAAAUAUAAUGUCACGUGAAAACAAAAGUAACACAGCUACUGAAGACGAGUUUCUCGAUGCAGAGCAAGAUCAAAAUAAAACAAUUGAAACAGAAAUUAUUUCGGAACAGGAAGAGACAAUACCUUUUGAGUUACUAAAAGUUGAGGAUGCCGUAUCAAACAAAGUAUAUUCACAACCACCAACUGCUGAUAAAAAAAUAGACUCAUCUGAAAAGGUAAGUAACGUGGAUUCUGACCAAUUAGAGUCUACUGAGGGUCCAACAGAAGAAUUUAAAGAUGCAGAAGAUGAUGAGAGAAUGUCAAAGUCAAGACCUAGGAAGUCCAUAAAUUUCACUGAUGAUCAGUUUAUAGAAAUAGCAUCCGAAAAAUUAGAUGAACAAGAAUCUGUGUCGUUGGAAGACUGGUCAACACCGAAAGUGGAAUUUGUCGAUACUGAAGCUAUUCCAAAAGAGGUUGUUCAAGAAAAUACUGCACAAGAUCUAAGUCCCUCAAUUGCAACACGUACGGUUACAAUAAGUAAAGAGAAUCUUGGAAACUAUGCGGAGGCUCUUGAAAAAAUGCCUACAGUUGAAAAGUCCAGCGGUCCCGCCAGAUUUGCUAGUUGGUUCAAAUCUGAUGAACCGGAAGAAGAUCAAGCCUCUAAAAAACCGCAAAAACUUCAGACAACUCUACCGAAGAAGUCGAGCAACCUAGUCAACUGGUUUAGGAAAAAACCAGCAGAAAGAAAGAUGUCUAGCGUUCCAACGAGCACCCACGAUCUAAACGAAGAAUACAACUACUCACCUGAAUUAACCACUCCGUAUUAUGAGUAUGAUAAUUCUUUUGUCUGUAAGUCCAUUUGCAGAAAGCACUACGAAAGUGGUAAAUCAACACCUUGUUUGCACCAACGCGAAUAUGAUCCGAAUAGACAAAGUUCGUCAAAACAAGCUGACACAAACAUUUAUGUUAAUGACUUAAGACCAAGGUCUGCUCAGUCUUCUUCUGAAUCAAGAGGAGCUAGACCAAGACCCUGCCGAGCUGCCUGUUCAACCGGUCCUAAGCUUGACAAUGCUACGUCGCCUGCCGGAUUAGAAGCAUCGGUAACAACUGAGCCUCAAUACAGAGAUACUCAACAACAUACUUCAAUGUUAACUGAUAACACCUUUGAGUUGGAAGAGUUGCUACAACGGAUGUUCGAGGAACCCCCUAAAUUUUCAUGCCGUGCUAGUUGUAGUACUGGACCAAUAUCUAAAGAACAGUUAAUGCAAAUAUUGGAAAACGAUUUAGCUGCCAAAGAUGCUUACUGCGCAGAACAGAGAAAAAUUGCAGCGGCUGCGCUAGAACAACUUAAUAAUAUCAAGCAUAUUGUAGAGGAACGAGAUGAUCUCAGAAAAAAAUUGCAAAAUUCCCAGUCUGAAUUGGCUGAACUAAAGAAAAAUUUAGAACAUGGAUUCGGAGAUGCAGAUCUUAGACUGGAUUCGAAAAACUCUGAGCAUUAUGUCCCCUUCCAAGACUCCAAUCAACCAACGAAAAGCACUGAUGAGGAAAUCAAAUCCCUUGAACAAGAGAUUUCCCAAAUGCGUAGUUCCCAGCAGGCUCCGCAACAAGAAACGGUUAUUAUUAAAAAGGAGGUCGAAGUUCUCAAGCGGUAUUGCUCAAAAUUAUCUCUGAUACAAGAUGAAAACCAGAAACUAAGGACGGAAAAUGAGGAACUUGAAAAACAACGUCUGGAAUAUGAAAAAAAGAUUAAAAGUCUAGGUUGUGAUGGCUCCGAAUCUCAAUUGAAUGAACUGAAAGAAAAGAUAUCGCAGUACGAACAAGCUACUGCAGAACGAGAUGUUCUUCAAAACAGAGUUAAAACUUUAGAAAGAGAACUGAAUUCUUACCAGGAUCUUCCGCACGAGGUUGAAGUAUUUAAAAGACGUUCCAUUUUAUUGGAUGAUGUUUUGAAAGAUCGUGAUCGUUUGGCUAAACGUGUUGAGCAAAUGAGAGGCAUGGACGAAGAGCUUAUGAUGUUAAAACAAAAGGCUGAUAGGGUGGAUGAUUUAGAACGUCAGCUACGCCUGGCAAUUAAAGAUACUCAAGCUGCAGAGGAUGAACUAGACACCAUGCGAAAUAAAUGUGCUAUAGCCGAGAUCGAUAUGAUAAAACAAAAAUCGGAAGCCGAUACCUUACAGUCUCGACUAUGCUGUAUGGAACACGAAGUGGAAACUCUUAAGUCUAUGUGUAAGGAGCUAGAGAUUAUACAAAUUGAAAAGGAAAGGUUGCAAGCAAGUCUGGAUGAACUGGUUCGUAUGCAAGACGAUUAUGAUCAUAUGUGUGUUCAGAUGAAAGCUCUAGAUGUAGUUAAAGCUGAAAGGGAUCGAUACAAGAGGAAAUACGAAGACCUAGUGGGUGUUGAAGAGGAAUGCAAUUUGCUAAAAGAGCAACUAAUGAAAGUAAAAAAUAUAGCCAAAGAAAGAGAUAUUUUGCAGAAGCAAUCAUACGACUUAGAAAAAUGUAUUUGUGAGCAAGAAGACGAAAUCAAACGACUAGUGACACAUAUUGAUUGUUUGGCUCAAGGCAAAGAGGAUCAGCAAAAUAAGCUUAAAGAAGUCGUUUCAGGUCUACAGCUAGAGCUUGAGAAGAAAGAGAGUCUCUUAGUAAUGUCAGAAGAAAAAAUGGCCAACAUGCAUGGAAAGAUCGACACAUCGCUCCACAGCCUCUCUGAAGAAACCGCCAUGUUGAGAAAAGAAAAAAUUAUACUUGAAGACAAAAUUGGAAAUUUAGUUAAAGAAAAUCAAAAAUUAGAAAAAUCGAACAAGAUGAAAGAUAUCGAAACUGCUGAGCUAAAGCAAUUAAUUGAUAAAAAAGAAGCAGAAAAUAAUAAAUUACAGAAAAAAUUAAAAGACAAAAACCGAAUAAUAGAGACAAUGCAAGAAGUUUUAGAUGAUCGAGAAUUGACCCCAUUACACAGUACACUAGAAUCGCAUAGUAACUUGGCCAAUGCGCAAGAGAUAUCCAGACUUCAAAAUGAGCUAGCAAGUGCCAAAGCCGAUAACCAAAAACUACAAAUGUUAGCAGCAUCACAAGCAGGUUCUAGUAGCACAGGAAUUAAUAAUCAGGUGAAAGAUAUGCUGGAACAAUCAAAAACUGCUAUUCAGCGUAUCAGCUUGGAACUAGAGAACCAGUAUGCCGAAUGGGACUCUGCUAAGAAGAAGUUCCGAUGUUGUCCAGGGUGUAAUUGUAAGCGGAAAACACAGCAGCCAGAGCCUAGAGUCAUUAUCAGGUGCUGCCCGGGUUGCAAUUGUAAAAAAAGACGAGGAGCAACUCAAAAAGAUGAUCGACCUUCAUGUCUUUGUCCUUCAAGGAAAACAAAAAGCGCAAACUCUUCUCCUAGGCCAUGUGUUUGUAGACAUGCAGGGCAACAAACCGAAGAAGAGUUUAAAAAGCCAAGCGUACACUGUACAUGUAAUAGAAAAAUAUAUUCUAAGCAAGCCGAGGCUUCUAGUAUAUCCAGCAAGGAUUCAACUGAUGAAGACUCACAACAAACAGAUAUUGAUCAGGGAGAAUCUUUGGAAGUUCCAAGAACUAGCGAAAGUACCAAAUCCAGAAAACGAAUUACCAAAAAAGUUGCACCUACAAUUGAAGAAUACAAGCAGGGCCAGUCUUCUAAGGCAAAAGAACCCGUACAAACUAAAUCAACGCAAAUGUCUGAACAGGAAACUAUCGAUAAAAAUACAAGCCAGCAGCCUAAGCCAACUAUAAAUCAAAUAAUUGGUAAAGAUUCUAAGCAAGCGGAGCCUUCUCAAUUACCACAAACAUAUGAAUACCCCAAACAAGGCGAAAUACAUAAAAUAACAGCCACUAAUGAAUCUUCUAGGAACUCCAAAUCGGUAGAAAAUCCGGAAUGGAGAAAUCUCAAUUUACCAGUAGGUACUGAUGAAGAGGAAGAUCCAAUGUACACUGCAAGAUCUACGGAAGAAAGUAGACAGAAAAUAUUAGAGUUAGAGAAAGAGUUACAGAAAGCCAACGAAAAAAUAAUUCAUCUAAAAGACCAAAUUGCAGGUAUUGAAAGGGUAUCAGAUGAAAAUGUGGCUUUAAGGAAACAUUCCUCAGAAGUGCAGCAAAUUGCUAAAGAUCAAAUACAAGAUAUGGCGAAUCGCGUAAAAAGUCUGAAUGACGAUAUUACAAAGUAUCAAAAUGAAAACAAAAAACUUCAUACUGAAUUGAUCGAAGCGAAAAAACUUUUAAAAGAUACUGGUCAUGGUUCUAUUAAAGAGGAUGAAAAGAAACACGUGAAACUAGGCCAAACCUCGGAGAUUAGGUUCUCUACUGGCCCAGACGACCUCAUUAUGGACUUGAAUGAAGCAAAAAGAAAAAUCAAAGAUCUAGAAGCAAAACUUUGCAAACAAAAAUAUGAUUUAGCAACGGCAAAAAAGAAGCUUAAAAGCACAGGGGUAGGUAAAGAAAUCACCCAUGAUGGGGGAGUGCAACAUUUCGAACCAGAUAACGCUGGACUGAUGGCCCCAGGACAAAAGGGAUCCUCGUUACAUACUAGCUCAUCAUCUGAAGAACCCAUGUUGGAAGUUUAUAAUGACGAAUUUGCUCAAAGACUAACACAGUGCAUUGAAGAAAAAAAAAAGCUCCAACAACUGGUAGAAAAUUUAAAACAAGAGUUAGGAAAAGCUGGAAAAGGAGAAAAUAUCCUUGACUUAGGCGAGCAAGUACAACUUAAAACCGAUUUAGUACAGUGCUUACAGGACAAAGAAAAACUCUUAGCAGAAAUUGAGAAACUAAAAAAGGCGCAAGAAAAAUCAGAUUAUAAUGGCUCAGAUGCAGAGUAUGUUAGAAGGCUAAAAUCAGACUUAGAAUCGUGUUUAAAGGAACGUGAAAACUUCCAAAAAAUAAUCAAAAAGUUGCAAGAUCAGCAUUCUGAUAAAGUAAUGGAGCUUCCCGAUAUGGCUGCAUUUACAAAUCUAAAAUCUGAUCUAAGCCAUUGCUUAGAAGAAAAAGAAAAACUUUUAAAAAUAAUUAAGCAAUUGGAAAAUCAACUUUCUGAAGGUACAGGAGGGCAUCCUGAUAUGGCAGCAUUUACAAAGCUGCAAGUUGAUCUAAACCAAUGCUUAGAGGAGAAAGAAAAUCUCUUAAAAAAAGUUAAGGACCUUAAUAGCUGUCUCAAUGAAAAAGAAAAUUUGCUAAAGUUAGUUAAAGACCUACAACAGCAACUUGCAACUGGAGAUGCUGACCUACCCGAUAUGAGAGAGUUUGCAAAAUUAAAAGCUAACUUAACUACAUGCUUGGAAGAAAAGGAGUUACUUUUUCACAAACUAGCGAAGCUUGAAAAGAGAAUGUGUAUGGAAAAUUCAAAGAUUAAAUCCGAUUUAGCAGAAUGUUUAAAAGAUAAGGAAGAUCUUCUUAAGGAAAUUGAAAGGCUUAAAAAGUUGGUGGAGCAUUUGCAGAGCAAACUUCCUUCAGAAUAUAAAACUCAGGACUUAGCUACUUCACAAGAAAAAGAACAGUUCGACAAUAUGCUUAAGGAUAAUGUUGGGAUAACGUCUCGUAGAAGUUCAAAGUUAGAAGGAGAAAUUGAAUCUCUCAAAAAACCUUUACCCGAAAAAGAGCAACUCGAUCAAGCCAAUAAGGAACUCCAAAACCAAAUAAUGGAUCUACUUAAUAAAAUAGCUGCUUUACAAAGUGACAAUGAGAAAUUAAAAGCAGAACUCUCAAAAAAUAAAAAUGACGUACUACAACUGGAACAGGGAACAGACAAGAUAGAUACUUUACAAGAAGAAGAAAAACCAGAUAUUUCUAAAAUCAAAGCAGAGUUGGAAAAAUGUCUUAAGGAUAAACAAGAUCUUUUAAAUACAAUAGAAAGCUUAAAGAAUCAGCUGAAAGCAGUAUCCCUAACAGAAUCGAAAGAUGGCCAAGAAAAUGCCGAUUUAAGACCGCAACUAGAAAAUUAUAUCCGAGAGAAGAACGAUUUACUUAAAACUAUCGAUGACUUAAAAAAACAGCUUGCAGAAAAGUCUGAUUGGGUGCCCAAAGAAGCGCUCGAUUCUCUUCAGAAUAAGCUAGAACACGCCACCAAGGAUAAAGAUUCAAUCGCGCAAACGCUUAAAGAAGUUACGCUACCUACUGAUAAGAUGACUCAACUUUCUGAAAUGGAUAAUCUGAGGGAUAGAAUUACCGCACUUUUAAAAGAUAAUGAUGCUCUUCAAAAGCUUGUCGAUGAGUUAAAGAUGAACAAUAAAAAACUGGCAAAGGAAAACGAUGAUUUAGACAAAAUGCUUACGAGUAAUGUUGUGACAACGUCUCGUAGAAGUUCAAAGUUGGAGGGCGAAAUUGACUCCCUAAAGAAACUUUUACCCGAAAAAGAGAAACUCGAUCAAGCCAAUAAGGAACUACAAAAACAAAUAAAGGAUCUACUUGAUAAAAUUGCUGCUUUACAAAGCGAUAAUGAUAAAUUAAAAGCAGAACUUUCAAAAAAUAAAAAUGACCUACUAAAACUAGAACAGGAAAAAGACAAGAUUAAGGCCGCUUCUGCAGAUCCAUCGCUCCUAGAUAGUUUACUUAAAGAAAAUGACAGCCUUAAAAAACAACUAGAGCAGCAGAAAAAAGAAAUAGAUGCUCUUAAUGAAAAAUUAAAGCAGCAGGUUGUCCCUCUGGAUAAGACGGCGUUCGAUAAAGAGAAAAAAGAUAAAGAUGCCUUGCAGUCGACCAUAAAUGAUCUUGAAAAUCAGCUGAAAAACUUAAUGGCCAAGGAGCGAGUUAAAACACCUGAACCAAGUGAUGAUUUGUCUGCGAAAAUAGAAGCUUUAUUAAAGAAACUAGAAGACGCUCAAAAACGUGCAGAUUCAGCUGAAGAAGCUCUGAAGAGGCUUAAAGCAAGUGACCCAACUGUCAUGUUAAAUGCAGAGUUGCAAAAGCUUAAAGACAAAAUCGCUUAUUUAGAAAAACAGGCCGCUGAUUUGCAAGAAGCGCUGCAACAGGCGAAUGGUGAGAAAAUGAAUUUGAAAAAAGAUUUAGAUAAUGCCAAUAGUGCAGCCAAAAAGGCCAAAGAAGAAAACGAGGCUCUAUUAAAAUCAAUUGAAGGCCUAAAAGCUGAUAAGCAACAGUUAAAUGAUGAUAUCAAAAAAAUGGGGGAUAAAACACCAAUCAGCCCUGCAUCAGGUGAUGAGAAUUUAAAAAUAAAGCAGCAGCUUAAUGGGUUACAAGACGAAAAUAAUACUUUAAAGAAAGAUCUGGAUCAACUAAAGGGAGAAAAUAAAAGAAACGCUGAUAAGUUAAAUGACGCUUUAGAUGAAAAUGGAAAUUUAAAGAAAAUGUUAGCUCAAGCAGAGAAUGAAAAAAUUAAAGCGCAAAAAGAUUUAGCCGCAGCUUUAUCAGAUGCGAAAAGAGCAGGUGAUAAGCUCCUUGAGUUAGAAAAAGAAAAUGCCAAAUGUAAACAAAGUGUUAAAGACCUUGAAAACGAAAUUUCAAGAUUAAAAAAAGAAAUGGAUAGUUUAUUAGACGAAGCUAAAAAAGCUGCAAAAAUAAUAGCCGACUUACAAGCUGAAAUUGGUGACUUAAAGCAAAAGGUGGCCAAACUCGAAUCCAUAAAUUCUAAAUUGGAUGAUGAAAAUAGUAAAGUUAAGAAAGAAUUGGAACAGGCCCGAGGGGGAUCUCACGCUAUCGCUAGUCUUCAGGAUGAUAAUAACAAAUUGCAACAACAAAACGCUAGUCAGCAAACAGAAAUUGACAAACUUAAAAAGAAGUUAGAAGAUGCUUUAGCAGAUGCAAAAGCUAAGAUUGCUAUAGCCACAAAACUUCAGGAUGAAUUAGACGCCUUAAAGAAAAAAAUGCAGCAGUUAGAUAAUGAAAACACUGAGUUAAAGAAAAAACUACCUGUUCCUGGAACUGAGAACAAGAUCGACGAUUUACAAAAUAAAUACGAUGCUCUCAGGCAAAAGUUAGCGGAAGUCGAGAAUGAAAAUCAGAAAUUAAAAAAAGAUUUGCAACAAGCGCUCGACAAUGCUAAAAAACUAAAUGAUGACAUUAAUGCUCUAAAGCAAUCUGAAAAGAAAUGUAAAGAUAAAAUAACACAAUUAGAGAAUGAAAAUGAAGGGUUAAGAAAUAAAUUAAACGCUACAUUAGAUGACAUGAAAAAAAUGGGCACUGAAGUGAGCGGCAUUCAGGGAGAUGAGUCAAAAUCAAAGCAAAAAGCAGCAAUAUUAGACGGAGAAAACGCAAAACUCAAAAAAGACCUUGACGCAGCAUUAAACAACGGGAAAAACUUGGCGGAUGAAAACUCAAAACUGAAAGAUGAAAAUGUGAAACUUAAGCAGCGAAUAGCCCAGCUAGAAGGUGAAAACGCUAAGCUAAAAGCUGAUCUUGAUUCAGCGCUCAAAAAUUUAAAAAAAUCCAUGGAAGAAUUAAAAGAUAAACAAGAUGAAAACAAUAAGCUUCAGAACAAGACAAAACAAAUGGAAAAAGAAAGCGAACAGUUCAAACAGAAGCUAGAAAACGUUAUAAAAGAUAGUCCCAAGCCUAUCGCCAGUGAAGAUAAAAGUUCUCAACUUGAAAACGAACUAGCUAGAAUCAAAAAGGAGCUUGAAAAUGCCAACAAAGAAGCCAAAGAAAAUGCUCAAGGUCGCACUCAGCUACAAAAUGAAAACAAUCAAUUACUGCAAAAAAUAAAGCAGCUAGAAGCUGAGAAUAAUAAACUCAAAGCAGACCUAGAAGCUGCCUUAAAGAAAUCUAAAGCCACAGAAAGUGAACUAGCACAACUAAAAGAUGACCAAUCCAAGUUAAAAGACAAGUUAUCAGAGCUACAAUCUAAUAAUGACAAGCUCCAAAAGGAGAAGGCAGCUUUAACUGAUGAUGCCAAGAAAGCUGCGACAGACUUGGCAAAACUCUCAGAAGUAAAGGAAAAUGAAAAUAAAUUAAAGCAAAGAAUUGCACAGCUAGAAGCUGAAAAUGCAAAAUUAAAAAAAGAUUUGGAUGCUGCUCUUGCAGAAGCUAAAAAGGCAAUUACUGAUUUAUCGAAAGCCAAUGACGGCAAUGAUAAAUUACGGCAGCAACUUUUAAAAGCCGAAAAUGAAAACAAAAAAUUAAAGUCUGAUUUGGACGCAGCGGUAAUGGGAGCAAAAAAAGAUUCUCUUGGCAUAAGUGACCUUAAAGAAGUCGAUGAUAAAUUAAAACAAAGAAUAGCCCAGUUAGAAGCUGAAAAUAACAAGCUUAAAGACGAACUUGACAAAGCCAUGGAAGGCACGAAAAAAUCGCUCAAUGAUUUCGCCAAGCUUCAAGAUGAUGAAAACAAAUUGAAACAAAAACUUGCACUGCUGGAGGCUGAAAAUGGCAAACUUAAAAAAGACUUAAGUAGAAGCCAAAGUGAUGCCAAAACAGAAGGGGAUAAUACCGAAAGUUUGAAAAAUGAACUUGCAAAAUGUAAAAAACGAGUGGUAGACCUAGAAAAUGAUAUCGCAAAUCUUAAAAAACAACUGGACGGUGCUUUAAAUGAUGCUAAAAAUAAAGCGAACGAAUUAUCAAAAGCUCAAGAUGAAAUUAAUAAUUUAAAACAUAAGCUUGCACAAGCAGAAAAAGAUCACGAACGAGCAAAAAUAGACCUUGAUACUGCUGCUAAGGAUACUAAAGCUGGAUCUGACAAAGAAAAGAAACUUUCAGAUGAGAACGCCGAACAAAAGAAAAACAUAUCAAACCUUGAAAAUGAACUAGCAGACAUGAAGAAACAAUUGGAAGCAGCCAAAAGAGGAGCUACUGCAGCCGUAGUUAAGCCGAUAGAUUUGAAUGAAAGUGAAAAGAAGCUUGGAAAUGUUCAAAACGAAAACGCUAAGUUAAAAAAUGAUCUAGAAACAGCUUUGCAAGACGCCAAAAAGGCCAUUGACUUGCAAGAUGAAAAUGAUAAACUGAAACAAAAAAUUUCAAAGUUAGAAGCAGAUAUUGACAAGUUGAAAAGUGAUUUGGCUAGCACCAAAAAAAGUGCAAGUAAAGCUAAAAUUGAUUUAGGAAGGAUGAAAGACAAGGAGGUCCAAUUAAAACAAAGAAUCGCUCAACUUGAAAAUGAAAAAUUAACAUUACAAAAACAGCUGGAUGAGGCUAAGGCUGCAGGAGCAAAUGCUAAUUCUUUGAAAGAUGAAAACAAAAAAUUGUUAGAUCAAAUUAAUAAACUACAAGAGCAACUGGAUAAAGCACAACCUGCGGUCGCCCGAGUCGAAAGUAAGCAAAUAAUUAAACCCACAGAUGAUAUUAAUAAUUUAAAAGAUGAGAUUGCAAAACUUAAGGAAAAGCUUGCUAAUUUACAAGGAGAAAAUGUAAAACUCAAGCAGCAAAAUGAUCAGGCAUCGUCAGCAAGACGAUCUUCCGAAAAGCAAUCAAACGAUGCCAAAAAUGAAAACGACAAACUAAAAGAGGCCAAUAAAAAACUCUCUGCAGAAAAAGAUAAUUUAAAGAAACAGCUUCAAGAUGCCCAAACUCAAAGCCAAAACCUAACAGACGAAAACCAGAGACUCAAAAAAACGAUUGAACAACUGCAACAGGAACUAGCAAAUCUUCGAAAUGAUUUAAGUAAUGCGGCAAAUGAGUUAGCUAAAGCAAAAACCGAAAACGGUAAAUUGAAAACUGAAAAUGAUCGGGCGCUACAGGAAUUAAAGAGUAAUAAGGAUGCUCUUAACAAUGCUUUGCAAAAAUUACAAGACGCAUCUGCCGAAAAACCAACAGGCGAAAAUUUAGAUGAUUACAAAAACCGAAUAAGCUCACUAGAAGCUCAGCUUGCAAAACAAAAGAAAGAAUGCGACGACACCAUAGCAAACCUCAAAGCACAAUUUGAUAAAGAAAAGAAAAAUCUUUUGAGUAAGAACGAUGAGGAUCUAAGUAAGCUCCAAAAAGCUCAGGAUGACUACAUUAAGAGUUUAAAUGACCAACAUAACAAGGAAAUUAAGGAUUUAAUGAACAUGAUGGAUAAGCUGCGCCAAGAACUGGAAGCGGCUAUUCGAGAAAGGGAUAGACUUAAAGGACUUAUAGAUGACCAAAGAAAAAAGAGCAUCGAAAUCAAAGGCAAAGUUGAAGAAGUGGAAAAAGUUAUUUCUAAAGAAAGGCGACGCAGUAAAGAACUUGAGCAGAAACACAGUGACCUGAAAUCGAUAACUUCUCUGCUGCAGCAAGAAUUACAGAAAGAAAGAAGAAAAUCAUCGCAGCUACAAAAAGAAAGGGAUGACUUGGGCGAUAAGUUAAAAUCAACCAUAAAUAAAAAGAACGACCUGGAAAAUGAAGUAGGAAACCUUGAGAUGGAAAAAGAAUCAUUGGAAAAGGAGAAACAUGAGCAAACUAGUAAGAUGGCAAAAGAUAGCGCUAUUUUCCAGAAAGAAAUCGAAAGGGAAAGAAAGAAAAGUAAAGAGCUAGAAGCAGAAUUGAAGUCUUUGGAAAAGAAAUCAACAAAGGACAGGAAGAAAAAGGAUGAUAAGCUGACGAUGGCCACAUUUGAAACCUUGACCCUAGCACCAACAGUACUGGCUAUAUCACCGCCUCUUUCAGACCAUGAGUUGGCGUUUUAUGCCAAGAAAGUAUGUCCAUGUGUCAAGAACUUGGAUGAUUUAUUAAGAACUGCUGCUAGAAAAGGGUUUGAUGUAUUAACAAUAGAGGAGUUGCAGUUUAUCCAUAAGCACUUAACUGAUGCGGUAGCAAAUACAUUGGAAAAAAUGGGACGUAAAACAGGAGUUCUACGACCCGCCGAAGCCGGAGAUCGGUUAUCUUUAUUACGAAGAAUAGCAGAACUGGAAGGAGACUUAUCAAAGAAACAGAAACAAACUCAGCAAAAAAUUGCUCAAAUGCAAAGCGCAGUAAAACAAGAAAAAAAUAGACUAACGGAACUCAGAAAAAAUCUGGAAAAAGAGAAGUUUGGAGCAACACCGGGUGAUCCAGCCAGAAUUCGCCUUGCCAGAGACGCGGAUGCGUUGGAGGAGAUGAAAAGACAAUUAGAAAAAAGAUUGGAUAAGGAACUAUUGCGGAUGAAACAAAAAACAGGACAAAAACGUACUGCUAGGGAAAGAGAGAUUCUCGAAUCUCCAGUAAAAGAUACGACUUAUUAUCCCACUUCUAAUUUAGAAGGUGCUGUAGGUUGUACCCCUAAUUUAAGAUUCGUCCGUUCUACUCCCAGAGGUCCACAGAUGGCUUUCCACUCAACAGGUCAUUUAUGAAGAUAUUAAUUGAUAAAAGAACCCUUUUACUCAUAAUGGCUAUACUAAUCCAUAGAUGUUUAAGUAUUGAUUGCGUCAAUGCUAAUUUAUUGUGUAAUGUAACAAACUUAAUAGAUUAUUAUAUUAUCGUA